rfam:Hordeum vulgare subsp. vulgare, WGS project CAJW01000000 data, contig: morex_contig_55523
UACAUACUCCCUCCCUCUUAAAAAAUUUGUCUUAGGUUUGUCUAGAUAUGAAUGUAUCUAAUUGAUACAUGCAUAUCUAGACAAAUCUAAGACAAGAAUUUUAAAACGGAGGAAGUAUGUG